rnacentral:rRNA from 1 species
UGGGGAAUCUUGGACAAUGGGCGCAAGCCUGAUCCAGCCAUGCCGCGUGGAUGAUGAAGGCCUUAGGGUUGUAAAAUCCUUUUCGUUGGGGACGAUAAUGACGGUACCCAAAGAAGAAGCUCCGGCUAACUUCGUGCCAGCAGCCGCGGUAAUACGAAGGGGGCUAGCGUUGUUCGGAUUUACUGGGCGUAAAGCGCGUGUAGGCGGAUUUGUAAGUUGGGGGUGAAAUCCCGAGGCUCAACCUCGGAACUGCCUCCAAAACUACAAGUCUGGACCUAAGUAGAGGCAAGUGGAAUUGCGAGUGUAGAGGUGAAAUUCGUAGAUAUUCGCAGGAACACCAGUGGCGAAGGCGACUUGCUGGACUUAUGGUGACGCUGAGACGCGAAAGCGUGGGGAGCAAACAGGAUUAGAUACCCACGUAGUCCCUGAGCGGGCUGGCAAGGCGCAU